CCAGCUGGAUCGUGAGCAGGAAGAGCUGCUCAAACCAGCGUUCAGCUCAAGCAGAGAAAGAGAUCAGAGAGGAUCCAGGGAGGACACACCUCCAGUGAAGGAAGAGGCGUAUACUUCUACCCAUAAGCCCUUGACAGUGGGCGGGCAAGCCCAGGUCACCGUUGGCACCACCCACAUCUCUCGUCUGACUGAUGAACAGCUGAUCAAAGAGUUUCUGAGUGGCUCCUACUGUCUGCAUGGGGGUGUUGGAUGGUGGAAGUAUGAAUUCUGUUAUGGAAAGCACGUCCACCAGUAUCAUGAGGACAAAGAACAAGGGAAGAACAUUGUGGUGGUGGGCAGCUGGAACACU